CUGUGAGGCAAAAAGUUCAACAACUAAAUAAUGAUUUUCACUGCACAACAGCAGGAGAAAUAGGGAUCAUUGAGAGACUUAGCGAAUUAUGUUUUCCAUAGCUGGUAUCUUCUGCUAUCUCACCCUCAGGAUCUCAGACAGCUGGCUAGCACAGGUCCUCAGAACCUUGGGGCUGAUGCCAUCAGAGCUAGCAGCCGGGCUCUGGUGUAGUUUCUCCAGCUGUCUCCUAACCUGGCCAGAAGUCACAGCCAAAAGCACUGCUUACUACCUCCUGGGCUAUAUUUACCCUGGUUAGGAAUCGGUGCUGUAGCAUUUGGCAAGGAGAAGUGUGACCGAGCUGUUCGGCAUGUUCGAGGAAGGAGCGCUCAUCCUCUCAAGUGGUGCUCACUCCUGGCCUUCCAGCCGGGCAGAUGGGAAAAUCAUAGGGCUGUCCGCAGGAUGGUGAAGAUCAUUUCAGGAUUAAUUUGUUUAUGGAGAAAAAGGGACAUGCUUGACGUCUCAUGGAACACAUCCUACAUUCCCAACCUGCUUUGCCUGGAUAAUUCCAGGUUAAAGCAAAAUCAAGGUCAAACCCCAUUCAUCCAGCCGGAUUUAAUCACUCAUCGAGCUGCUCUUCAUGGUCAUGGUUAUAAUUAUGAUGCUUUAGCAGUGUUCCAACUUCUUCUUUUUCUUUAUAAACACUGCAUAUACACUAUGCCAGGAAAUACCAGAAUAGUAAUUUGUUUUCAUUUCUUUAAUCCUGAGGUGAAUUGUUUACUAUCUGGAUCAUUCAGUGAAAAUUCACCUCACCCCCUCAGAAUGAUUGAUUUUCUUCUUUUUUUCUUCAAUAACUUCAGCAAAUAUAACAAAGUUCAUCAAAGUACAUAGCAGACAGCAGGGGAAAGAAAUUUGGCAAAUUUGGCAUUUUCCAGAUAUCCUUAUUUUUUCAGUAUUUUAAAUGCCUCAGAACUUAUUAAGUACAGGAGAUAAAUACGUGAAGUUUUCAGGGCUGGAAAAAAAUAUUUGUUAUAUUUAAAAACUGCAGUCAGAUUAUUUUUAAACUCAGUCCAAGUGUCACAAUCUGAAGCUAUUUGAAGAAAUAGUUUUUGUUUUGUUUCAGUAUAAUGGCAGUAUAAUAGUGUCUUUCACUAUGAAUAACAAAACCGCAAGAAUUUAAUGUGAUGUGAUGUAGUGUUUUUAGUGGCCGGUACACUUUCCAGGGGCAUAAGCGACCAGUCAAAUCAAGUUAUAGUAUCUGACAGGUCUCCUUUUAUACCUACUCUUUGAUACCUGGCUUGUCCUAUAGCUCCUUCUGUGUAAAAAUUAUUUUUGAACAGUUAGAAACUUGAAGCCUCAGUGCUUGUUUGCUCUCUUCUGAUAGUGUUGUUGGUCUGAAAGUUUGCGCUUCUGUUAUCAAAAUGUGAAAAAUAAUAACCUGCUGUCUCAGGAUCUAGUGCUUUUCUUUUCUACAGCACCAGGAAAAUGAUUGUGCCUGGAUGGUCUCGAUGGAUAUAUGCAAUCUCAACAUGUUGAACUAUUGCAAGCUUCCUCUUCAUCCUCUGCGAGUUCUCCUUCACUACAUCUACGUCCAACCUCCUAUCUCCAGCUUAUCCACUAUGCCUCCUCUGCAGAUGUCCAGACCAUCUCAGCUAUGUCACACUAACUUUGUCUCCAAACCCUUCAGCCUGAGCUGUCCUGAUGUACUCUGACCUCUCCAUUCUGAGCCUCUGUCAGAAGUAAAAGUUCAACAAGCUUCUUCAAUCCUAUUUGCCAGACAAGAAGCCAGUUAGCCCAGGAUUACCUGACCUAACCACGGCCGUCAUAGAGCUGGCAGCUUUACAAAGACCAUUAGAGCCUCUGCAAGUGUUUUACUCCCAGAGUGUGACUGGAACGUGGCACCCUACCUGCCGUCUUGGAUCUCAUUCAGGAGAUGCCCUCUCAGCUUCACGUUGGUUUCCAAGAAAUGUGAUGCAUUAAUUAUGAAUCUGGCUUUUCUUAAUAGAUCUUUUAAAAUAUGUUAGGCAUCCUGGCUCUGUUAAAUACAGAUCAAUAAGGUUUUACUACUAUAUGAAUGACUCUGUGGCAAAAAGGGAUCAUUAAGAAUACACUGUCUAUUGGCUUUGUCAGAGAAUAUUAUAUAUAAAAUACUAUUAUGUGAUUCUCUGAUGGAAAUUUCUGCUUUGGGUUCAGGAACACUUCUUCUUUAGUGAAAUGAGAUUUAGAAAUGCAAGACACCAAGAAAAUGAAGAAAAUAUAGAAACAGCAAUCAAAAAUGCCACUAUGUUUUCUGACCCAUGAUUAUAUAAGAGACUGAAAGUGGAAAUUUGUCCUAUGACCUGACAACUUUGGAUUUCCUCUUUGAAAUCAUGGACAGCAUAUCCUGACCAGCUGGCUUGAGGUCUCGUGGCUUGUAGCCCUCAUGGCUGUUUCUUUAUUUUUACUGUAUAGCCCCAAGAGUCCACCUUUCUGUCAGUCUCAGCAAAAAAAAGAAAUAAACAUUUUGCCCAAAAUUGACGAUGUCAGUGGAUAAAAAAUAGACAGUAUAAGGCCUCGUAGAGUUAGCUGGGUUUGCGUUCUACCUUCAGACUCAAAUGACAGCUGAGAUGUGUUGUUAGUAUAAAUGGGCACACCCGUAAAGGAUGCAGGGUGCAAUUAUGUGUGAAGUCACAUGGCCACAGAUUAGAAAACCACAUUUAAAAGCCUUCAAAUUCAAGGUGUGGCUGUUUGAUGUGGAUGCUUUCCAGCAUAGUGUGAGCUUCCAGGUGCAGGGGAGUGCUGUCAUACCAUUAGCGUAGGUCAAGUGAAUGCAUGUAUGCCAGACGCAAGCACAUACAGCACUAAAAUCACAGCAUAUCUGUAGCAUCUAUUAGGUGGUGAAUUACUUUAGCAGCAGCAUUGAGAUCCUUUGCUGUUCCUGGUCUUGCACAAAGACCCUGUAAUGGGGAAGAUUAGGUGAAAUGGGCCUCUCUUAUCUCCCAAUGAAAUAAGACCUGUUUCGUAACUUUUAGCCGUAAUUGACCUUGAGUAAUCUGAAGCCAAACACACCACAGUUUGUGUCUCUUUUGGAUCAAAAGAAGCUGAAAUAAUGGGAUCCUCUGUGCAAAGGUGACUGCUGAUGCUCCUUCCCACUCCACAGACCCCACAUAACCCCGCACUGCUUUUCCUUGAAGGCAGAGCGAUUCUCCAGCUUUUUGCCACUGGGGGUCAGAAGCAGCUCAACUGAAAGUGGCUGGAAAUCCCAUUUCUCUCUCUGCGCCUCUGAUCCAAAACCAAAACUAACUCUGCUGUCAGCAGUGGGAAUAUCUCUCCGACAGCUGGGACAAACUAAUGCGACCCUCCUGGAAAUCCAGUUAUCUCUGAAAAGAGAGGACGAGGGUAAAGGAUGAUAGGGGAGACAGAGAGCUGAGAACCAUGAGUAGAUCUUUGUUUCCUAGUAAUGCAUGUAUUUUCUUAGGCAACAUUGCCUUAGAAACUGGUCACCCAUAUGUGAGACCUUAGUCACGCUGCAGAGCUUCUUAGGGCAAGUGUUUCUGAUCGAAUCCGACGUCCAGUUAUUCCAUCUUCUUUUCUUCUCUAAGUUACAGCGGCAGAGCCAUGUACACAGAUUGAUGUUGUAAAAUCAACUGUUCCAUUGGUAAAAUGUUUGCAGUGGCUAAUGUUACAUAAGUGCUUAAGCUAAUGUAGUGCACAACCAUUAUAUGUCAUUACACCUCACUACUCAGCAUCCUUCCUCAACAAAACAUAACAUUUACAUUUAAAAUUAACUUUCCGCCACAGCAGGGAUUUAGAAUGACUUUUUAAUAAAGGGGUUUCUAUUUAAACUUGCUAGGCUAGCGUUAGUUGAUACUAUAGUGCUCCAUCCACUUGUCCAGAAAUGGUCACUGCCUGGUCCAGAAAACCAGCAUGGUGGUGGGAGGCCAACUUGACGGCACCCAAAAUGCUGACUUUGAAGAGUCUAAAUGAGACUUCCCAAAGCAGUGGGUGAUGUCAUAUUGGCUACAUCCUACAGUCAAUGUUCAGUCUGUGCUCUUAAUGAGCUCCAUCUCCACCAUCUACUCUGGAGUCAAUUCCACCUUCUUUGAAUGCAAAGGGUCUACGUCAGGAUCUCAGAUGUGAUGCAUUCAUCUCAAAACCUUACAAUGUCAUCAAGACUUUCAACAGAGGAAACACGACAAUCAUAAUGACAAACAUAAGAAAAUCGCUACUGGCCCAAACUGGAAAAAUAAAAACAAACAAACAAAAAAUGCUAAAGUGGUUGUUUGCAGUAUAUAAGAAUAGUAGCAUAAUAAUUAUUUUUCGUAACUAUAAAGGUUGGGUGUAUUUCUAACUUUUUAAAAGUAAAUUAUGCAACAAGGUUAGCUAAAAACACUAUAGCGAAACUAGGCACUGCUAGCGACAUUAGCACAAUAGCUGAAGUGUUACUGUAUAGUGUUACCUAGAGUUUCAGCUUGACAAAUAAAAACAUAUGG